ensembl:snRNA U6 U6 spliceosomal RNA
GUGCUUGCCUCAGCAGCACUUAUACCAAAACUGGAACCAUACAGAAAGAUUAGCAUGGCCUCUGCACAAGGAUGACAGCAAAUUCGUGAAGCGGUCCAUAUUUUU